UACGUAGGGGCCUAGCGUUGUCCGGAAUUAUUGGGCGUAAAGAGCUCGUAGGCGGUUCGGCAAGUCGGAUGUGAAAUCUCCACGCUUAACGUGGAGGGGCCAUUCGAAACUGCUGUGACUCGAGUCCGGUAGGGGAGUGUGGAACUCCAGGUGUAGUAGUGAAAUGCGUAGAUAUCUGGAAGAACACCAAUGGCGAAGGCAAUGUUCUGGCUCGUUUCUGACGCUCAGGUGCGAAAGCCAGGGGAGCGAACGGG
rnacentral:rRNA from 1 species